AAUGGCAUUAGAAAUAGAUUACAACGAAGUGUUAGAUUUUGGCGAGGAGGCGGUGAAGAGUGUGGAUGAAAAGAUGAGAAUCUUAAAGCUUGGAUACAAUUGGAUCGAUGUUGUAGAAGAGUCGGAGAAGCAAGAGACAAAGAUUGCAGGAAAAACACCUCGGGAUCCCCAAAAAAUUCUAAAACGAAUGCACCAAAAACGAAUGAGGGAAAUCGAAGACAAAAGGACACAUAAGCAGUUAUUAAACCAAGUGCAUGAGGAA